ACCUGAUGCGGCGACGCCGCGUGAGGGAUGACGGCCUUCGGGUUGUAAACCUCUUUCAGUAGGGAAGAAGCGAAAGUGACGGUACCUGCAGAAGAAGCGCCGGCUAACUACGUGCCAGCAGACCGCGGUAAUACGUAGGGCGCAAGCGUUAUCCGGAAUUAUUGGGCGUAAAGAGCUCGUAGGCGGUUUGUCGCGUCUGCCGUGAAAGUCCGGGGCUCAACUCCGGAUCUGCGGUGGGUACGGGCAGACUAGAGUGAUGUAGGGGAGACUGGAAUUCCUGGUGUAGCGGUGAGAUGCGCAGAUAUCAGGAGGAACACCGAUGGCGAAGGCAGGUCUCUGGGCAUUAACUGACGCUGAGGAGCGAAAGCAUGGGGAGCGAACAGGAUUAGAUACCCUGGUAGUCCAUGCCGUAAACGUUGGGCACUAGGUGUGGGGGACAUUCCACGUUUUCCGCGCCGUAGCUAACGCAUUAAGUGCCCCGCCUGGGGAGUACGGCCGCAAGGCUA
rnacentral:rRNA from 1 species